GGGGACAACGUCUCGAAAGGGACGCUAAUACCGCAUACGUCCUACGGGAGAAAGCAGGGGACCUUCGGGCCUUGCGCUAUCAGAUGAGCCUAGGUCGGAUUAGCUAGUUGGUGAGGUAAUGGCUCACCAAGGCGACGAUCCGUAACUGGUCUGAGAGGAUGAUCAGUCACACUGGAACUGAGACACGGUCCAGACUCCUACGGGAGGCAGCAGUGGGGAAUAUUGGACAAUGGGCGAAAGCCUGAUCCAGCCAUGCCGCGUGUGUGAAGAAGGUCUUCGGAUUGUAAAGCACUUUAAGUUGGGAGGAAGGGUUGUAGAUUAAUACUCUGCAAUUUUGACGUUACCGACAGAAUAAGCACCGGCUAACUCUGUGCCAGCAGCCGCGGUAAUACAGAGGGUGCAAGCGUUAAUCGAAAUUACUGGGCGUAAAGCGCGCGUAGGUGGUUUGCUAAGUUGGAUGUGAAAGCCCCGGGCUCAACCUGGGAACUGCAUUCAAAACUGACAAGCUAGAGUAUGGUAGAGGGUGGUGGAAUUUCCUGUGUAGCGGUGAAAUGCGUAGAUAUAGGAAGGAACACCAGUGGCGAAGGCGACCACCUGGACUGAUACUGACACUGAGGUGCGAAAGCGUGGGGAGCAAACAGGAUUAGAUACCUUGGUAGUCCACGCCGUAAACGAUGUCAACUAGCCGUUGGGAGCCUUGAGCUCUUAGUGGCGCAGCUAACGCAUUAAGUUGACCGCCUGGGGAGUACGGCCGCAAGGUUAAAACUCAAAUGAAUUGACGGGGGCCCGCACAAGCGGUGGAGCAUGUGGUUUAAUUCGAAGCAACGCGAAGAACCUUACCAGGCCUUGACAUCCAAUGAACUUUCCAGAGAUGGAU
rnacentral:rRNA from 1 species